rnacentral:rRNA from 1 species
GGGUUGUGAGGUUAAGCGACUAAGCGUACACGGUGGAUGCCCUGGCAGUCAGAGGCGAUGAAGGGCGUGCUAAUCUGCGAUAAGCGCCGGUAAGGUGAUAUGAACCGUUAUAACCGGCGAUACCCGAAUGGGGAAACCCAGUGUGAUUCGUCACACUAUCAUUAACUGAAUCCAUAGGUUAAUGAGGCGAACCGGGGGAACUGAAACAUCUAAGUACCCCGAGGAAAAGAAAUCAACCGAGAUUCCCCCAGUAGCGGCGAGCGAACGGGGAGGAGCCCAGAGCCUGAAUCAGCAUGUGUGUUAGUGGAAGCGUCUGGAAAGGCGCGCGAUACAGGGUGACAGCCCCGUACACAAAAGCGCAUGUGCUGUGAGCUCGAUGAGUAGGGCGGGACACGUGGUAUCCUGUCUGAAUAUGGGGGGACCAUCCUCCAAGGCUAAAUACUCCUGACUGACCGAUAGUGAACCAGUACCGUGAGGGAAAGGCGAAAAGAACCCCGGCGAGGGGAGUGAAAAAGAACCUGAAACCGUGUACGUACAAGCAGUGGGAGCGCCCUUUGGGUGUGACUGCGUACCUUUUGUAUAAUGGGUCAGCGACUUAUAUUCUGUAGCAAGGUUAACCGAAUAGGGGAGCCGGAGGGAAACCGAGUCUUAAUUGGGCGUUAAGUUGCAGGGUAUAGACCCGAAACCCGGUGAUCUAGCCAUGGGCAGGUUGAAGGUUGGGUAACACUAACUGGAGGACCGAACCGACUAAUGUUGAAAAAUUAGCGGAUGACCUGUGGCUGGGGGUGAAAGGCCAAUCAAACCGGGAGAUAGCUGGUUCUCCCCGAAAGCUAUUUAGGUAGCGCCUCGUGAAUUCAUCUCCGGGGGUAGAGCACUGUUUCGGCUAGGGGGCCAUCCCGGCUUACCAACCCGAUGCAAACUGCGAAUACCGGAGAAUGUUAUCACGGGAGACACACGGCGGGUGCUAACGUCCGUCGUGAAGAGGGAAACAACCCAGACCGCCAGCUAAGGUCCCAAAGUCAUGGUUAAGUGGGAAACGAUGUGGGAAGGCCCAGACAGCCAGGAUGUUGGCUUAGAAGCAGCCAUCAUUUAAAGAAAGCGUAAUAGCUCACUGGUCGAGUCGGCCUGCGCGGAAGAUGUAACGGGGCUAAACCAUGCACCGAAGCUGCGGCAGCGACACUGUGUGUUGUUGGGUAGGGGAGCGUUCUGUAAGCCUGUGAAGGUGUGUCGUGAGGCAUGCUGGAGGUAUCAGAAGUGCGAAUGCUGACAUAAGUAACGAUAAAGCGGGUGAAAAGCCCGCUCGCCGGAAGACCAAGGGUUCCUGUCCAACGUUAAUCGGGGCAGGGUGAGUCGACCCCUAAGGCGAGGCCGAAAGGCGUAGUCGAUGGGAAACGGGUUAAUAUUCCCGUACUUGGUGUUACUGCGAAGGGGGGACGGAGAAGGCUAUGUUGGCCGGGCGACGGUUGUCCCGGUUUAAGCGUGUAGGUGUGUGUUCCAGGUAAAUCCGGUUCACUUUAACACUGAGGCGUGACGACGAGGCACUACGGUGCUGAAGCAACAAAUGCCCUGCUUCCAGGAAAAGCCUCUAAGCAUCAGGUAACAUCAAAUCGUACCCCAAACCGACACAGGUGGUCAGGUAGAGAAUACCAAGGCGCUUGAGAGAACUCGGGUGAAGGAACUAGGCAAAAUGGUGCCGUAACUUCGGGAGAAGGCACGCUGACACGUAGGUGAAGUGAUUUACUCAUGGAGCUGAAGUCAGUCGAAGAUACCAGCUGGCUGCAACUGUUUAUUAAAAACACAGCACUGUGCAAACACGAAAGUGGACGUAUACGGUGUGACGCCUGCCCGGUGCCGGAAGGUUAAUUGAUGGGGUCAGCGCAAGCGAAGCUCCUGAUCGAAGCCCCGGUAAACGGCGGCCGUAACUAUAACGGUCCUAAGGUAGCGAAAUUCCUUGUCGGGUAAGUUCCGACCUGCACGAAUGGCGUAAUGAUGGCCAGGCUGUCUCCACCCGAGACUCAGUGAAAUUGAACUCGCUGUGAAGAUGCAGUGUACCCGCGGCAAGACGGAAAGACCCCGUGAACCUUUACUAUAGCUUGACACUGAACAUUGAGCCUUGAUGUGUAGGAUAGGUGGGAGGCUUUGAAGUGUGGACGCCAGUCUGCAUGGAGCCGACCUUGAAAUACCACCCUUUAAUGUUUGAUGUUCUAACGUGGACCCGUUACCCGGGUUGCGGACAGUGUCUGGUGGGUAGUUUGACUGGGGCGGUCUCCUCCUAAAGAGUAACGGAGGAGCACGAAGGUUGGCUAAUCCUGGUCGGACAUCAGGAGGUUAGUGCAAUGGCAUAAGCCAGCUUGACUGCGAGCGUGACGGCGCGAGCAGGUGCGAAAGCAGGUCAUAGUGAUCCGGUGGUUCUGAAUGGAAGGGCCAUCGCUCAACGGAUAAAAGGUACUCCGGGGAUAACAGGCUGAUACCGCCCAAGAGUUCAUAUCGACGGCGGUGUUUGGCACCUCGAUGUCGGCUCAUCACAUCCUGGGGCUGAAGUAGGUCCCAAGGGUAUGGCUGUUCGCCAUUUAAAGUGGUACGCGAGCUGGGUUUAGAACGUCGUGAGACAGUUCGGUCCCUAUCUGCCGUGGGCGCUGGAGAACUGAGGGGGGCUGCUCCUAGUACGAGAGGACCGGAGUGGACGCAUCACUGGUGUUCGGGUUGUCAUGCCAAUGGCACUGCCCGGUAGCUAAAUGCGGAAGAGAUAAGUGCUGAAAGCAUCUAAGCACGAAACUUGCCCCGAGAUGAGUUCUCCCUGAGACUUAGAGUCUCCUGAAGGAACGUUGAAGACGACGACGUUGAUAGGCCGGGUGUGUAAGCGCAGCGAUGCGUUGAGCUAACCGGUACUAAUGAACCGUGAGGCUUAACCUUACAACGCCGAAG